UAGGGAAUCUUCCACAAUGGGCGAAAGCCUGAUGGAGCAACGCCGCGUGUGUGAUGAAGGGUUUCGGCUCGUAAAACACUGUUGUAAGAGAAGAAUGACAUUGAGAGUAACUGUUCAAUGUGUGACGGUAUCUAACCAGAAAGGGACGGCUAACUACGUGCCA
rnacentral:rRNA from 1 species